UUCAUUAUCCUUAUCACGUUCUCAGUAGCAAACGAUAUUUAAUUUAGAUAAACACAGUUUCAAGAGGCAUGCACACUGAUAGAUUUAUUUAUCAAUGUACACGUAGCAUAGUGACAAACCAGUUCUACCGAGAGUACAGCGUAAACGGAAACGUCGGUCAAUUUCACGAUUAACACUUUCUAAGUCACGACUUGGCAGUGAUUUGAAGCAAAAGAUACAAUUGCUUUUACCCAGAGUCUCGUCACGUUGAGGUUAUCUUGGAAAAUGUCGGGAUUAUGACAGAUACUUUAGAUAAAUACAUAUAUUUCUCAUUUCUUCACAUAAAUUAAUACGAUAUGAAUCAACUAGUACACGAAGAUAAAAAGCAAUUACACUGUGCAAGAAACGGAAUCAAGACAUGUAAACCCACUAUCAUCAAGAGAACUUUUAUCAGGGAGUGAUGUCGGUGUUGUAUAAAGGCACGAAGUGACUCGUUAAUGUAGUAAUAGCCCAAAGCGAGACUGGAGUGCUCCGGUGUAUGUACGUGGGCCGAGAGAGACCACUCUGUUUUUUCGCAUUGUUGGCGCAAGUAGUUUGUUAACGGCGGAUGUCGACGAUGUCAUCUUCAGGCUUUAACGAGGAAAGGAGCGAAAAUUCUGAAGAAAUAUCAGAUGAUGUUUUCGUGGAGUCGGAUGAUAGCUUGGAACACCUUUCAGAGGAUAUAAAAAAUUUCAGUCCGCAAAAGUGUGUUUUCACCGAAGAGUUGUUAGCAAGAGAAGUUCGGUGACGGUGAUGUUGGGGAGGAAAAUUAUUGAUGGGUGUGCCUGGAAUACAAGACAAGCGGAUUCGUUGAUGGGAAUUUUCGUUAAGAAAGUGAGGGGAACGGACAUCGCAGCCAAUUAGAUGAGGAAAAAACUGGUGGAUAAAGAUGCGUGUCAGCCGCUUCCGACCAAAAGUCGUUUUCCUAUUCCUCCUAUUUUCCUGGAAUGAACAACCCUAAGGAACGUUACUACUUGAAAGAUAUCCGAGGGACCCAAGGGCCUUGAUCGUAAAAAAUGUUAAAAUUUAUGACGGUCCCUAGAGUUCCUGCAGGUCCCAAGAAGGAUGAUAAAAAUUUGGUGCUCAUCAUGAUCGAAGGAUGGAGUAUGGUUUACGUCACGGGGCAUGACAUUUGACAUUAUCUAAAAAUAUAUAUAUUUUUUAUCAGAUUCUGUUCUUUUAUGCUUCGUUUAAAAUUUAUUGCAUCCACUAAAAACGAUGAUUAUACCACCUACGUGUAUUUUUUGUAUACUACAUAUGUUCUUUUAAAUUUUCCAUAAAUGUAUAAAAAUCCGUAAUCUAAAAAUAAAGAUAUUUCUGAUGAAAACAAAUACAACUCCAGAGUUGCUUGAUUGUAUUUCGCUGACAGUGAAUGUGGUAAUACGUACAAAACCUGCAUGAAUGUAAAUAGCCAAAAAUGCUUUGCGAAACGCGUUUUGUCUAUGAAAGAAUCUCUAUCACUUGAUAUUCUUCAAACGUCUUUGCUGACGCGUUGCACCGGUACACCGUUCGCAUACCUACUUAUUUAUGUCGCGCAACUUUCACUGAUAACGAGAGCAACAUUCCAGAAGCGGCGUCUUCUGAAUAUUUAGAGGGUAUACGGGUUUUCCGUCGAAGUAGUCGCGUAUAGAGGCAGUUACACGUGCGGACCUUCCUGCGAACGAGCGUGAAAUCUUUUUGGCUUCCUGUUCUUUUUUCUCGUCGUCGCAACUUUGCCCCUACCUUGCAUAAUUUUAAAGAUUCCUUCUGACCUGUGUCCCAUUACACGCAUUACGAAUAAUUGAGCGAACCGUGGUAACGGUGGCCUGUUCCUCUGCUAAAAUACACGGCGGCUGUCGCGACAAGGAGAAAAACGGAAUUGUAAUGGGAUAUCGUCCUACCAAACUAUAGUAAGUUUUUUCUUUGCUUUAUCUUUCUUUUUGAGCCAUCGUGUAAUAGUUGUUUGCUGGUAAGACGGAAAUUAACUAAUUCUGUUCGGGGAGAAUGUGAAUUCAAACAACGCAAUAUAUCGUUUCUUAAAAAAUCUUACUUUAUGCUGUGCAACGCUUGAACUACUAAAAAUAAGCUAAAUAUAUGUUUAUUUUCAAUAUCCCUAAUAAUUAUACCAUUAUAUACGGAAUAACUUUUUCAUCCGUAUUUUUACACGUAUACAUAUUUUAAUAAGCUUGGCAACAUAACGUUUAUCGAUUAAGCGUAGGUAACGUCAUAGAUAUAAUUCGACAAUUCCUGCUAAUAUAUGUCCUUAAACUAUCUAUAUAUAAUACCAUUUGAAACAAGCGAAAUAAAGUAAACAACGAUCUCUGAACAUUGAUACGCUUAUUCCUGUUUGGAUUUAAUAUCAAGGAAACGAGGACUUUUUAUUCGAUACAGAUCUUUCGAGUAAAAUAAUUUGUACGCGCGUACUGAAUUAAUUUCUACAUUUUUCUCAUAUUCUUCCGCAACCUACUUCGGUUUUAAUAUAGCAAUUUACAUCACAUUACAAUUCUCAUCGACGUCAUACACGAUAUACAUUUGGAAUGAAAUGCACUU